rnacentral:misc_RNA from 1 species
GAUGAAGAACGCAGUGAAAUGCGAUAAGUAAUGUGAAUUGCAGAAUUCAGUGAAUCAUCGAAUCUUUGAACGCACCUUGCGCCUUUUGGUAUUCCGAAAGGCACACCUGUUUGAGCGUCAUGAAUACCUCAAUCUCCAUCUUUUCUUCGGAUUGAUGGGUGACUUGGAUGUUGAGCCCUGCUGGUAUGCUAUAUCAGCUGGCAUUAAACUUAUUAGCCGGCUCUGUACUGGAUCGGUUUGACUCGACGUGAUAAUAUUAUCGUUGAGGAUGCAUGUCUCAUGCAGCCGGAAAGUAUCAAAGCAGCUUCUAGCUUGCCUUUAGUGCACUUUUACAUUUUAGACCUCAGAUCAGGUGGGACUACCCGCUGAACUUAAGCAUAUCAAUAAGCGGAGGA